rnacentral:tRNA from 1 species
CGGGGUGUAGCUUAGUUGGUAAAGCGCAUGGCUGGGGGUCAUGAGACCGUGGGUUCAAGUCCCGCCACCCCGA